UGUAAGCGUAGUAAGGGCAAAUGGCGGACACCUUGGCAGUUGGAAGCGAUGAAGGACGUGGUUAGCUGCGAUAAGCUUCGGGGAGCCGCUAAGCAGGCUUUGAUCCGGAGAUAUCUGAAUGGGAGUGCCCCCUAGGAUGAAGUCCUAGGAGUUCGCACUGAAAUGAGUAGGUGCGUUCAGCGAACCCGGCGAAGUGAAACAUCUCAGUAGCCGGAGGAAAAGAAAUCAAUCGAGAUUCCCUAAGUAGUGGCGAGCGAAAGGGGAAGAGCCUAAACCGAACGUGUGUAAGACUGCAUUCGUUGCUCGUUCGGGGUUGUAAGCAGUUACAUCUUGUCCAUGCAGGGACAGGCAGGGUUAAAAGCGAUAUCUAGUCGAACGUCUCUGGAAAGAGCGACCGCAGGCGGUGAUAGUCCCGUAGACGAAAGGUUGAACUACCCUGGGAACUUGCUUGAGUAGCGUCGAACACGUGAAAUUCGGCGUGAAUCUGGGAGGACCACCUUCCAAGGCUAAACAUUACCAACUGACCGAUAGUGAACUAGUACCGCGAGGGAAAGGUGAAAAGCACCCCGGGAGGGGAGUGAAAUAGAACUUGAAACCAUUUGCCUACAGACAGUAGGAGCAUCCGUUGUUCUCUUCGGAGAACGCUGUGGUGUGACUGCAUGCCUAUUGUAGUAUGAGCCGGCGAGUUACGGUAUGUGGCGUUAGGUUAAGCCGAUGAAGGUGUAGCCGAAGCGAAAGCGAGUCUGAAUAGGGCGUAAGUCACAUGUCGUAGACCCGAAACCAGGUGAACUAGCCAUGGGCAGGUUGAAGUGUACUUGAUCGUACAUGAAGGACCGAACCCACUAACGUUGAAAAGUUAGGGGAUGACCUGUGGUUAGGGGCGAAAAACCAAUCGAACCUGGUGAUAUCUGGCACUCCUCGAAAUAGUUUUUGGGCUAGCCUCACGUAAAAGAUCUAUCCGGGGGUAGAGCACUGGUCGGGGAAGGGGGGCAACUCCCGACCCUAGUCAAACUCCGAAUACCGGUAGAUUGUUUCGUGGGAGUCAGACUGUGGGUUAUAACAUCCAU
rnacentral:rRNA from 1 species